AAUUUUGCACAAUGGGGGAAACCCUGAUCCAGCCAUCCCGCGUGUAUGAUGAAGGCCUUCGGGUUGUAAAGUACUUUGGGCAGAGAAGAAAAGGUAUCCCCUAAUACGGGAUACUGCUGAUGACAUCUGCAGAAUAAGCACCGGCUAACUACGUGCCAGCAACCGCGGUAAUAAGUAGGGUGCAAGCGUUAAGCGGAUUUACUGGGCGUAUAGCGUGUGUAGGCGGUUCGGAAAGAAAGAUGUGAAAUCCAAGGGCUCAUCCUUGGACUGCAUUUUUUACUGACGGGCUAGAGUAUGUCAGAGGGGGGUAGAAUUCCACGUGUAGCAGUGAAAUGCGUAGAUAUGUGGAGGAAUACCGAUGACGAAGGCAGCCCCCUGGGAUAAUACUGACGCUCAGACACGAAAGCAUGGGGAGCAAACAAA
rnacentral:rRNA from 1 species